rnacentral:rRNA from 1 species
UACGUAGGGCGCGAGCGUUAAUCGGAAUUACUGGGCGUAAAGCGUGCGCAGGCGGCGCGUUAAGACAGGUGUGAAAGCCCCGAGCUUAACUUGGGAAUUGCGCUUGUGACUGGCGUGCUGGAGUGUGGCAGAGGGAGGUGGAAUUCCACGUGUAGCAGUGAAAUGCGUAGAGAUGUGGAGGAACACCGAUGGCGAAGGCAGCCUCCUGGGCCAGCACUGACGCUCAUGCACGAAAGCGUGGGGAGCAAACAGG